GCUGGGCAUGGUGGCGUGUGCCUGUAAUCCCAGCUACUUGGGAGGCUGAGGCAUGAGAAUCGCUUGAACCCAGGAGGCAGAGGUUGCUGUGAGCCGAGAUCAUGCCACUGCACUCCAGCCUGGGCGACAGAGUGAGACCCUGUCUCAA
rnacentral:SRP_RNA from 1 species